GUCCACGCCGUAAACGAUGAGUGCUAGUCGUCGCGGGUAUUGACCCCUGCGGCAACGAAGUUAACGCAUUAAGCACUCCGCCUGGGGAGUACGGCCGCAAGGCUAAAACUCAAAGGAAUUGACGGGGCCCGCACAAGCGGUGGAGCAUGUGGUUCAAUUCGACGCAACGCGCAGAACCUUACCUGGGUUAAAUCCACCAGAACCCUGUAGAGAUAUGGGGGUACUCGCAAGAGAACUGGUGAGAAGGUGCUGCAUGGCUGUCGU
rnacentral:rRNA from 1 species